UACAGAGGUCUCAAGCGUUGUUCGGAUUCAUUGGGCGUAAAGGGUGCGUAGGCGGCGCGGUAAGUCGGGUGUGAAAUCUCGGAGCUUAACUCCGAAACUGCAUUCGAUACUGCCGUGCUUGAGGACUGGAGAGGAGACUGGAAUUUACGGUGUAGCGGUGAAAUGCGUAGAUAUCGUAAGGAAGACCAGUGGCGAAGGCGGGUCUCUGGGCCGAUACUGGCGCUGAGGAGCGAAAGCGUGGGGAGCGAACAGG
rnacentral:rRNA from 1 species